CUUUUCGAUAGUCACCUAGUAACAUGUAAUCAUUACCAAGAUAUCCAUAGGCUCUUCCCUCUCCAGCUCGAUCACCGAUUUCUAUUGCAAUUUUCAAAUGUUUUUCAUGAUGCUUAAUCGCUUUUCGAUAGUUACCCAGUGUGCAGUAAGCAUUACCGAGAUUUCCAUAGGCGCUUCCUUCUCCGCCUCGAUCACCAAUUUCUAUUGUGAGUUUCAAAUGUUUUUCAUGAUACUCAACGGCUUUUCGAUGGUCACCAAGAGACUGGUAAGCAAUAUCGAGAUUUCCAUAACCUCUUCCUUCUGCGGCCCGAUCACCGAUUUUUAUUGCAAUUUU